CCAUUUAAUCCUAUGAACAAUUGCUAACAUCCGCUAUACCCUUUCAUUCCACAAUUUCUUCCUCACUUUUCAUUUCUAUCUUUUUCAUCUCUCUGCAGACCUCGUCUCCCUUCACAUUCAAAACCCUAACCCUCUCUUUCCACAUUCAAAACCCAAACCACCCCACCCAGUCACCUUGUCUCCCUUUCACCGUUCAUUCUCGUAGUUCCUCGUCUCCCGUUCACCUUCUCUGCUUUUCGGUUUUGUAACAGAUCCUUCUUUGGUAAUCGUUCCGACUCCAGAUAAGAAAGUUGCACAAUGGAUACAAUUAUUACAUCAAAUUGGUUAGGAUGUUGUUCGAACAGACCGAUCACUUGUCUUUUACGAAGAUGAAGGUAAUCAAGCAAAACUUUGGGAUGUUCUGUCGAUUUAUGCUUGGUUGGACAAUAAUAUUGGUUAUGUACAAGGAAUGAACGAUUUUUGCUCACCUUUGGUUAUUCUUAUUGAGAAUGAAGCAGAUUUCUAUUGGUGCUUUGACCGUGCGAUGCGGAGAAUGGCAUAGUCAUAUCAUGCAGGAGAAAAUUUUCCUGUUCUGCUCUUUGUGUUCUCCCUUUAUGUCAUGUUAUUGUGUUCUUCAGAUCUUGGGCUACAUAACCUCGAGUCUUGAUGCUAAAA